rnacentral:rRNA from 1 species
GAUGAACGCUGGCGGCGUGCUUAACACAUGCAAGUCGAACGUGAUACAGUAGCAAUAUUGGUGAAAGUGGCGGACGGGUGAGUAACACGUGGGUGACCUGCCGCAGAGUGGGGGAUAACGAGGGGAAACCUUCGCUAAUACCGCAUAGGCUUACACUGGUGGGAAUGGUGUGGGUAAAACUCUGGUGCUCUGCGAGGGGCCUGCGUCCGAUUAGCUAGUUGGUGAGGUAACGGCUCACCAAGGCGAUGAUCGGUAGCUGGUCUGAGAGGACGAUCAGCCACACGGGAACUGAGAAACGGUCCCGACUCCUACGGGGGGCAGCAGUGAGGAAUAUUGGGCAAUGGGCUAACGCCUGACCCAGCAACGCCGCGUGGAGGAUGAAGGCCUUCGGGUCGUAAAGCCCUUUUGGCAGGGACGAGUGAGGACGGUACCUGCUGAAUAAGUCUCGGCUAACUACGUGCCAGCCGCCGCCGUAACAC